rnacentral:rRNA from 1 species
UUCCUACGGGAGGCAGCAGUAGGGAAUAUUGGACAAUGGGCGCAAGCCUGAUCCAGCAAUGCCGCGUGAGUGACGAAGGAUUUCGGUCUGUAAAGCUCUUUUCUGGGGGAAGAAAUGUCGGAAGAGGAAAUGCUUCCGAUUUGACGGUACCUCAGGAAUAAGGGACGGCUAACUCCGUGCCAGCAGCCGCGGUAAUACGGAGGUCCCAAGCGUUGUUCGGAAUUACUGGGCGUAAAGGGAGCGCAGGUGGAUAGUUAAGUCUAAAGUGGAAUCCCGGGGCUCAACCUCGGAACUGCUUCGGAUACUGGCCGUCUUGAGUUCGUGAGAGGAAAGCGGAAUUCAGGGUGUAGCGGUGAAAUGCUUAGAUAUCCUGAGGAACACCGAUGGCGAAAGCAGCUUUCUGGCGCGAUACUGACACUGAGGCUCGAAAGCGUGGGGAGCGAACAGGAUUAGAUACCCUGGUAGUCCA